CAUACACAACCUUCCCUUCUCUGAUAUGAGGCAGGACAAACUCCAAGAAUUUUCCGUAUAGAUGAUAGUAAUCAGCUACAAUAAAACCUUGCAAACGGACCCGCUUAUAUACGAUAUGUGCCAAAUUUGUCACACCUUCAGGUUGAGUAAGAUUGUACUGUGAGAUCAUUCCACACACAGGUAUGCGACCUUGUAAUCUCAUGUUCAAGAGUACGGCAUCAAGUGUCUUGCCACCGACGUUCUCAAAGUAAACAUCAAUGCCUUCUGGAAAGUGCCUGAUUCACAUAAAAUGAUAACCACAUGUCACUAGUGUGUCUCGUGUUGCUAAACUAUACUUUUUUAUGCCAAUAAACAUAAACUGACCUUUUCAAUGUUGCAUUGAGGUCUUGCUCUUCUUUGUAGUUAAUGGCUUCAUCGUAUCCAAAUUUAUUCUUCAACAGAUCCACCUGGUUGCAAAAGAUAUAUUUUUAAGUAAAGGAAGGCCAUAUUUUUGCUUGUGAAUGAAAAGAAACAAAAAUGUAUUUCUGGGGUCCCAUUAAUCAUACUCUUUUCCAAGUUACAGAAAAACAUUCAUAUCCCAAAAAUUAAGAGCAAUGCAACUUUGCAAAUAUUAUUGCUGGUUCCAGGUACAAUUCUUUUUCAAUUUGGCUAAUUACGUAAACAUUUCUUCCAGAAUUGAAAUUUUGUAAUAAAAUUAGGCUAAUUCUAGUAUUUUGGUUACAUUACAGUAAUUUCGUAAUAUAGCUAGUGAGCAAAAACCUUGAUUGUUGAUAUUGUAGAUAAGACAAUUCUGUCGUGUCAGUGUAAGACAGUAAACACGCCUUCGAUCAGCGUCAGUGUAAUAAUUAGAGAAAAUAAAUUAAUUGAAUGUAAUCAUAUCUGCCGUGUCAGAGUAAGACACUGAACACGCCUCCAAUCAGAUUAUGCCGUGUCAUCAUUUAUGCAGGCACAUAUAACAACAACAAUCAGACAUAUACCUUCUCUUUACUUCCAGCACUUCCAACGACUUAGCAACCAUGCAAUUUAGCGAAUUGGCCAACAAGUUGACCAACUGCACCAGAGGCAGCUGAAACAAAAACAUUCUCUCCUUUCUUGGUAGCGCCUACUUCAAAGAAACCAGCAUAAGCAGUCAUUCCUGGCAUACCUGCACUCAAAGAAAAACACAUGUCAAAAAGGCAUUACAGAAUGACAGAAAACUACGCAACUAACAUUAAUAAUAAGCUUGCUUGCAUGUUAGAUACUAAACCAAGAAAUGAUUAUAAGAGAAGCGGAUAUAACAUAUAAAAAUGCAUUGAGCUAUCAUCAGUUUCAAAUAACUUAAGGCUGGUUUAAUUGGAUCUCCUCCAAACCAAAGCUACUCAACCAGAUAUUAAUGAAUAAAAGAUCAACUUCAGCCAUAUAGCCUUAAUUGAACAAGAGAAGACAAUUGAAAAAUAUUAAUUUAGGACCAAACAGCCAAACAGACAACCAAAUCUAUCACACAAUAGGUUUCUAUCCUGAUGGCUAACCCGUCUGCAACGAUACUAAACAGAGUAAAGACUCAUUCAUCACACGAAAACAUCAUAAUAACUUGAGGCUUGCAUAUCAUAUUGGCAUCAAUUCCAUUCUUCUCUAUAAACAUACAUACCUAGAAUUCCAGUAUAGUAGGAAAGAGGAACAUCAGUAUGCUCAAUUUUGAAAUGUAUUUGUGCCGCAGGGAUCAAGCUGUACUCUUCCCAAUUAGUUAUCCCCCACACUAUAUCACCUUCCUUAUAAUCUUUGUGUCCAGAUUCCACAACUUUAGACACACCAUAACCAGUUAACGGCUGCAAUUACAAAAAUCAUCAGUAACUGCACAAUACAACUUCAAUAUUGCAAUUAUUCUUUGAUUACACCAAAAUCAAAAUCGUAAACCUACUAAUAACAAAUUGACCCAUAUAAUGCAGAGACUAAUUAACACAUAAAAAACCCUACUUUAAGGCAUAAUUUGACAAAUACUGAAAAGGGUUUCACCCAUAAACUUACAGAUUGAGGAACAUAGGCACGUGGAUUGAUAGAAGCUUUUGGGUCACUCAUAAGAGUCCUCAUGUAAGGAUCACAAGACAAGUAAAGAUUUUUAACCAAUACAGUAUCAUUGGAACCUUCUGGAAGCUUAAGAUUUAUAGUACUAUCAACAAUGUUGAGGUCUGAUUCUUUAGGAAAACCAGACACAUAGUGUUUCAGAAGCACUUGCUUGUUCUUUACUUGUGCCAUUUUUUGUUAUUGUGAUUGUUGAAUCUGAUUAUUCAAUUUAUAACACAAAAAUCAAAGAAAAAAUGUUGGUAUGAAAUGUGAUGAUUAUGUCAUUUGUGAUCUUAUAUAAGAGAAAGUUUAAUUUAUGGGAAUGUAAUUAUAGUCCAAUAAACACGUAAGGUAAGAUAUCAAAGUGAAACUCGCAUCCGGCCUAAUAAACUGUACACCUUCACACUAGUUAGUUAUUGUCGGAAAAAACACAGCUGUUCACACUCGUUUAUCUCAAAAACAAUAAACCUGUUCACAUUUAAGGGACAAAAAUACAAUUGGUUCCUAGAACAUUCUAUAACGAUCUUAAAUGAUAAAUAAUUAUGAAAAUAAUAUGUAUAUUUCAUGUAUUAAAAAUCAAAAUAUUUGAUUUGUUUUAAGAAUAAUUGUUUAUUUUUUAAUGAUAAAAAUUAUUCGAGGACACUCGUUAGUGAGACCAAUAUAAAAAUGGUUACUUUUUUCAAUGUUAUAAAGAUUAUACUAUAAUUUUUUAAUAUAAACUUACUACUUUAAGCAUUUUUUUAAUAGAUAGAUGAAAUGACAAAGCUAUUAUAAACUCACACACACAAGUAGAGGUAUCGGAGUUCGAACCCCGGUCAUGACAUCCGUCCUAACAAUUUUGGCAUUUUGUUAGUUGAGUUAGGACUUCUGGAUACUAUUUUAAGCAUUUUAAUCUACGUCUUAUGAACAUUCGUUAACAUUCUCCAUAAAUAUUGUGUUCUAUGAGUUGCCUAGUUUUUUUUUUUUUUUUUGGGUACAAAAUUAUGCCUAUAUCAAUUCAUCCAUUAAACAUAAAUUUCAUCCAAUCCAUUAUAUAGCUUUAAUGGAUGAAUAUUCAUCCAAUCCAUGUAUAAAAAUAUAAUUCAUCCGUCCUUAAUUAUAAGACUAUUUAUAAAAAAAAAAUGAUUGUUUUUAAAUAUAAGAUCAUCUACAAAUAUCUAGAUACAUUAAUUACUCUUUUAGUAUCAGUAAAACAUAUUUUUUUAAUUAUUCUUCUGAACUUAGCUCAGUUGGUUGGAACAAUGCAUAAAAUAUGCAAGGUCCAUGAUUCAAACUCCAACCAUUAAAAAAAAUACUUUUAAUUGCAAAGCUUUUCUUCUAUCUUUAUAUAUAUAUAUAUUAAGGACUAUAACUAUAAGUAAAAAAUCAAUCCAAAUUUAUCAGUAAAACAAAUUUCUUAGAAUAUUACUCCAUCAAUUUCUUUUCUUUUGAUGUUUUAGCUCUUGACACAAGUUUUAAGGAGUAAUUAAAGUAUAUAAACAUUUGUGUAUUUUUUACUUAAAUGUCCUUAUUUAUCAUUAAAUUCACAUGUGAUAAACCAAAGGUCACAACUACUUUAAUAGUUUACUGUGUUUUCCAACAAGGGUAAACUUGAGAAAACAAUAACAAAUUCACUAAAACAUCAAAAGUUUUGGAAUAUAGUUGAAGUUCUAAAACAUCAAAAGAAAAGGAAUGGAGGGAGUAGUAAAAAUCAAUAUUAAUUUCAUUUAUACAUAAAUGAUAAUUUAGUAAUAGUUUCACACUUUUCAGAUAAAUUUAUCAUUCUAACAACUUUUUUUGAUAAGCAUAAUUUUCGUAAAAUACUCCCACCUUAGGACACGGAGAGAGUAUAAAAAUUCAAGGGAUAUUCCAAAUGUGGCCUAUCCAAAUAUGGCCAAUCAAUCCAACUGUGGCCAAUCAAGGAUGGUUUGGAAAAGAAGAGGAGACGUAUGAGUGAUCAACAGUCGUAUGGUCAACUUAUGAGUGAAAGCAUGGUUCACAAAGGGGAUUAUUUUAGGAAAAUGCUAACGAUUGUUUUUGAAUAUUGUUUAAAAACUUCAAAUAAUAAUAUUUAUUUAAAAAAAUAAAAUUUUAUAAAAAUAUGUGUAUUUAAUAUAUUAAAAUUUAAAGUGAUUAACUUUUCUAUAAAAUAAUAUUUAAAUUUAGCAUCUUUAAACGGUGUCAAUGAGAUAUUCGCUAACCAGAUCCAUUAUUUUUUUAUGGUAGGUCCUUGUUUGCAUUGUAGCACUGUCCUUUCUCUUCCUUCUUUUGGAUACCAUUAUUAGACAGUAGGGUACAAAUUUGAGUUUUGUCAUCCACUAAACUUCCCCAUCAUGAUUAUGAAAUAUGAGGACUAUUCACUAGAAUGAUACUGCUACCAGUUAUAAAAUCCAUCAUGUGUUAACAUACAAAACGUGCUAUUUUGAACCUUGAAACACUAACACACACAAAACACACAAACACGUCUCUAACACACACAUACAUACCCUAUUAAUAGUUUGAAAAAAUAUAAGUGAUUUAAUGUGUCUAUAUGUAUCAUUGUCAUGUUGCAGACAAUGGAGUCACCUUUAAUCUAAAAUUCAGUGCAACAUAAAUUUUGAUAGAAAUUAAUAUUAAAACAUUAAAGGUUAAAUUACUUCGGAGGUUUUUAAGUUAUUUAAUUGUAAUAAAUUGGUUUUAUGUUUUUUUUCAUACCACUUAGGUCAAGUUAAUUAAUUGCAACAAAUUGUUCCUUUAAGUUUUUCCGUACAAAUUAGAUCCUUUAAGUUACUUAAUUGCAACAAUUUGAGAGAUUUCAUAUUUUAAAAAUGUAAGUUAUUCGUGGUCUAAAAAUUACACUUAAAUAACUUAAAGGAGCUAAGUGUUACAAAAAAUAAUUAAAGAACUAACUUGUUCCAAUUAAAUAACUUAAAAGACGUAAACUGUUACGAUAUGUUGUGAUUCUCUCAUUAUUGUAUUUUAUAUUGUAAUUAGAGGUGGAAAUAGGUUAGGCCGAGCUAGGCUUUGCAAGGCCUGAGCCUGGCCUGCGGCCUGUCAUAGGCUUACUUUUUAGGUCUGAGUCUGGUCUUCUGAAGGCCUGAUACGACCUGCUAGUCUGUUUAAAAGCCUAUUUUAUAUGAACAUUUUUAAAUAGACUAGCGAACUAAUAUAUCAAUUAGAUUAAACUCUCUUUUGAUAAUCAAGAUGAGUUUUUAGGAAAUUUGAUUAUAUAUUGUAUCAUAUUUCAAUUCUAGUUUAUAAUAAUACAUUUAAAUAUGCAAAAAAUUAAUGUAUACUAAUAAGCUUAAAUUACUGAAAAAGUUAACACAUUUUUAUUUUAAUUCAAAGUACAAAAUAUAAUAUAAUAAUAAAUAAUAUUAUUCAUAUUUACUUAAAUAGGCCGGCCUAAUAGGCUUUUUGAAUGGCCUGUGGCCUGGCCUUUUAAGCUAAAUAGACUUCUAAAAAAGCCUAGGCCUUCUUUGUUUAAUAAAAAAGUCUGGCCUAACCUGUUGUAGGCUAGGCCGUAGGCCCCUGUAGGCUGGCCUGACCUAUUCCCAUCCCUAAUUGUAAAUAUGUUAGGAUUAAUUAGCCUUUAUGUGUAAUUAUUUUCUUAAUUACUUUGUCUUCAAAUUGCUUGUGUUAUAGACACAUUCAGAAAAUAUACAAAGUCUAUUCAGUUUAUAUCUUCCUGAGUUUCUACAUGGGAACAAACAUUUGCAGCCCGCUCCAGCACUGAAUUUGAAUAUCGUGCUCUUGCUGAUACUACUUUUAAGAUAUUGUGGCUUCGUUGGCUUCUUGCUGAUUUAGAGACAUCACAGUCUUCACCAACUGAUCUAUAUUGUGGCAAUCGUAGUGCAAUUCAAAUUGCCCACAAUGAUGUUUUCCAUGAGCGAACAAAAUAUAUUGAAAUUGAUUGUCACUUCAUUCGUCAGCAUCUCCUUCGUGAUGAACUUCAUAUUAUCUCCAUUGGCACUCUUGACCAGCCAGCAGAUUUGUUCACAAAAGCUCAGUCUCCUGGUCGCUUCCGCACUUUAGUUUCGAAACUCAAGUUGAUUACUGCUCCACCGACUUGAGUUUGAGGGGGGAUGUUAUGAUAUGUUGUGAUUCUCUCAUUAUUGUAUUUUAUAUUGUAAUUAUGUUAGGAUUAAUUAACCUUUACGUAUAAUUAUUUUCUUAAUUACUUUGUCUUUAAAUCGUAUAAACGAUACAAAAAAAAAAACUUGAAGGAUCAGUUUGUUAUAAUUAAAUAACGUACAUAACCUCAGAUGUAAUUUAGCCAACAUUAAACUAUAGUUAAUAACUUAUUGGUCGUACUUAAAUUAAAUAAAACUGAAUUAAGUUAUCAAUAUACUAUUAGAAGAAACAAUGAAGAAGCAUAUAAUAGAGAUCUUAUUUAUCAUUAGAUGUCACUGAAGUAAGCAAUUACAGUCAACACUAUGGUGAAGGAAGAUUAACACAAAAGGCCAUACAAAGAGGGCUUGUUAUUCAACACAAAAAAAUCAAAUGAAAGCAUCUGCAUUCAUUCACGAGCAACAACAAGCACUUGUUUGCCAACAUUUUUACCACUAAAUAUGCCAACCAAAGCUGCAGGACCUUUCUCAAGACCCUCAGCUAUGUCUUCCACAUACACAACCUUCCCUUCUCUGAUAUGAGGCAGGACGAAGUCUAAGAACUUGGCAUAUAGAUGAUAGUAAUCAACUACGACAAAACCUUGCAAACGAAUCCGCUUAUAUAUGAUAUGUGCCAAAUUUGUUACACCUUCAGGUUGAGUAAGAUUGUACUGUGAGAUCAUUCCACACACAGGUAUGCGACCAUGUAGUUUCAUGUUCAAGAGUACGGCAUCAAGUGUCUUGCCUCCAACGUUCUCAAAGUAAACGUCAAUUCCUUCUGGAAAGUGCCUGAUUUCCCCAAAUUGAUAUCCACCAGUUAGUUGAGUGUCUCGUGUUACAAACGCAGUAACUAUAUUUUUUUAUGUCAAACAUAUUGAACUAAAAUUUCUCCUGCAAAACUGUUCUAAACUGACCUUUUCAAUGCUGCAUCCAGGUCUUGUUCUUCUUUGUAGUUAAUGGCUUCAUCGUAUCCAAAUUUAUUCUUCAACAGAUCCACCUGGUUCCAGAAGAUAUACAUUAAAGUAAAAGGAAGGCAGAGUAUUUUUACUUAUCAAUAGCACGAAACAAAAAUUGAUUUCCGGGGACACAUUAAUCAUAUUGUUUUCCAAGUUACAACAAAACAUCCAUAUUCCAAAAAUUAAGAGAAGUGCAACUGUGCAACUACUAUUGUUGGUUCCUGCUACAAUUCUCUUCAAUUAGGCUAACUAUGUAAACAUUUCUAGAAUUGAAAUUUUUAAUAAUUACGCAAAUUCAAGUUAUUUUUGUAAUAUUACAGUACUUGUGUACAUAGGGCACUGACCGUCAACACUGGUAAUAAUUUGAGAAAAUAAAAUAAUUGAAUCACAUGUGUCGUGUCAGUGUCAGACUUCAUACAGGACUUCGAUUAAAAGUGUGGGUGCUAUAGAAUUCAAAACAGGAAAAGUUUCAACCGCAGAAUACUCAUUUAUGCAGGUACAUGUAACAACAAUAAUUAGAUAAAUACCUU
rnacentral:lncRNA from 1 species